GGAUCAAGGCAAAAUAUGCCUGAUGAACCAGCAGACUCGUCUGUCGCGUCUGGGCAUACUUUGCCCGUGACUCCCGGUAAAAGCGCCUCGAGUUCCCCAGAUGUCCCAUUCAUGCCGAGGAUUUUCAAAAUGAAGUCCCCUUUAGCCAUGAAGAAAGCCUCAACUUUUUUAUUUUCUCUGGUGAACAGCCUUGUAUGCCAGUGCCACUUUUUGUUCAUGAAGGACUGAAGGACCCACAGGUUACUGUGAGUGCUCAAGCCCUCUAGUUGACUGGAGGGGGAACCCACGGUAGUCACCUCCUCCUCUUCCUCAUGCUUCCCUGCCCGAAGCUCUUCUAAUUGAGGAAUCGGAUGCCGGCCAGCAGCAAGGGGAUAUGAGGGCUGUUGGCGAGGCCCCAAAUCUUGAUCUUCUUGAAGAUCCCCUAUUAUCUGCUGCUGAGCUGAAGAAGAUGAAGGACUAAUUCAUCGACAUGUAUAAGUACACGAAUGCGAGUUGUUUUUUCUUUGUCGAUCCUCCUUGGUUUUCUCGGUUGGAAAAUUUAUUGUUUCUUGAUAUUAUUUGAAUGGGAUCUUGCUAUGCGUUCCAAGGAGAAAUCUGAGGGCCUGAAAGUUGCGCCCAGGCUCAGUGCUCCAAACAACUUCAGGAACUCAAGGACCAGCAUACCCACGAGCUCUAGGAUGUGCAGGCAAGGCAUUCGCAUGAGCUCCAGGCUCUGUGGGCUGCCAAGAAUGAGCUUCUGAAGAAACAGAAAGAGGCCAAUAAUACCUUGGAGAAGAAGCGGAAGGAUGUCGAUAAACAGCUAGUCGACUCCAUGAAGCAGAUCCAAAAACCGCGCUGCGGAAAGGGGCCAAUGUAACCAGGAGCUUAAGGAGAUGAAGAAAGCAGCGUGAGUGAUUGUCGAUAUGAUGGGUCUUCCGGAGGACGAGUAUGGUGGGUUCUGCUAUCAUCUCCUCGCAUAGGAGUAACUUACAACAUUGUGUCACCUCUUCGCUCUGGAAAUGCGAUACCUCGACCUUCCUCCACAAAACAUUAUAUCUCAACCCAUAUAUAGGAGCAUGGUUCCCUCGUAAAGUACAAAGGUGGCAUGGAAUGCGUGGAUCCAACCUUCAGUGUCAUGUAAAAAAAAACAGUCACAAUGUGAGUCUUCAACCGGUAUACUUUUACCAAAAGUGCUCUUGACCUCCAUGUCCCUAAAAAUUUUAUUCGCACCUGUAUGCCCUACUGCUAACUUUUCUUUUACCUCUGUGCCCUUUUGGACGAAAUGGACCAUAACGGUGGCUAACGGAGUUGGGAAAAGACAUUCCUACC